UACGUAGGGUGCAAGCGUUGUCCGGAAUCAUUGGGCGUAAAGAGCGUGUAGGCGGCUCGAUAAGUCUGCUGUGAAAGUCCAGGGCUCAACCCUGGAAGGCCGGUGGAAACUGUCGGGCUAGAGUCCGGAAGAGGCGAGUGGAAUUCCUGGUGUAGCGGUGAAAUGCGCAGAUAUCAGGAGGAACACCCGUGGCGAAAGCGGCUCUCUGGGACGGUACUGACGCUGAGACGCGAAAGCGUGGGGAGCAAACAGG
rnacentral:rRNA from 1 species